rnacentral:misc_RNA from 1 species
ACGAUUGCGAAUGGUUGCCUUUGGUGCUGGCUGGCUGGCUCUCGCGAGCGGGCGAGCAAGUGCACAUUGGCGGCUUUCCUCCACUACCCUUGUGCACCUUUGGCCUCGUGCUAGCUUCGGCUGGCAGAGGAUUUUUUACACACACACUCGAAUGGAAUGAAAAUGUUUGUUGUGCGCACGCACGAAUGUA